GAUGAACGCUGGCGGCGUGCCUAAUACAUGCAAGUCGAGCGAACGGACGAGAAGCUUGCUUCUCUGAUGUUAGCGGCGGACGGGUGAGUAACACGUGGAUAACCUACCUAUAAGACUGGGAUAACUUCGGGAAACCGGAGCUAAUACCGGAUAAUAUUUUGAACCGCAUGGUUCAAAAGUGAAAGACGGUCUUGCUGUCACUUAUAGAUGGAUCCGCGCUGCAUUAGCUAGUUGGUAAGGUAACGGCUUACCAAGGCAACGAUGCAUAGCCGACCUGAGAGGGUGAUCGGCCACACUGGAACUGAGACACGGUCCAGACUCCUACGGGAGGCAGCAGUAGGGAAUCUUCCGCAAUGGGCGAAAGCCUGACGGAGCAACGCCGCGUGAGUGAUGAAGGUCUUCGGAUCGUAAAACUCUAUUAUUAGGGAAGAACAUAUGUGUAAGUAACUGUGCACAUCUUGACGGUACCUAAUCAGAAAGCCACGGCUAACUACGUGCCAGCAGCCGCGGUAAUACGUAGGUGGCAAGCGUUAUCCGGAAUUAUUGGGCGUAAAGCGCGCGUAGGCGGUUUUUUAAGUCUGACGUGAAAGCCCACGGCUCAACCGUGGAGGGUCAUUGGAAACUGGAAAACUUGAGUGCAGAAGAGGAAAGUGGAAUUCCAUGUGUAGCGGUGAAAUGCGCAGAGAUAUGGAGGAACACCAGUGGCGAAGGCGACUUUCUGGUCUGUAACUGACGCUGAUGUGCGAAAGCGUGGGGAUCAAACAGGAUUAGAUACCCUGGUAGUCCACGCCGUAAACGAUGAGUGCUAAGUGUUAGGGGGUUUCCGCCCCUUAGUGCUGCAGCUAACGCAUUAAGCACUCCGCCUGGGGAGUACGACCGCAAGGUUGAAACUCAAAGGAAUUGACGGGGACCCGCACGAGCGGUGGAGCAUGUGGUUUAAUUCGAAGCAACGCGAAGAACCUUACCAAAUCUUGACAUCCUUUGACAACUCUAGAGAUAGAGCCUUCCCCUUCGGGGGGGCAAAGUGACAGGUGGUGCAUGGUUGUCGUCAGCUCGUGUCGUGAGAUGUUGGGUUAAGUCCCGCAACGAGCGCAACCCUUAAGCUUAGUUGCCAUCAUUAAGUUGGGCACUCUAAGUUGACUGCCGGUGACAAACCGGAGGAAGGUGGGGAUGACGUCAAAUCAUCAUGCCCCUUAUGAUUUGGGCUACACACGUGCUACAAUGGACAAUACAAAGGGCAGCGAAACCGCGAGGUCAAGCAAAUCCCAUAAAGUUGUUCUCAGUUCGGAUUGUAGUCUGCAACUCGACUACAUGAAGCUGGAAUCGCUAGUAAUCGUAGAUCAGCAUGCUACGGUGAAUACGUUCCCGGGUCU
rnacentral:rRNA from 1 species